rnacentral:rRNA from 1 species
AUGGAUCAGCACGGUGACCAGCCAUGGGAGUACAAGCUGCGGAAGUACCUCCUUCUGCUGGCCACCGUGGUAGUCACCGUGACUUACGCAGCUGGCUUCAACCCGCCAGGGGGCAACUGGCAGGAGGGCGCCCGCAGCGGCCGACUCGCCGGCGACCCCAUCACCCGCGAGAUCCACUACCACCGCUACCUCGCCUUCUUCUACUGCAACGCCACCGCCUUCGACGCCUCGCUCCUGGUCAUCGUGCUCAUCCUCAUCUUCGCCGUCUGGCACGACAAGGAGAAGGCCAUCACCUGGGUCGCCUCGAAGGUCAAGCCGCUGCGGGUCGUCAUGGUGCUGGACCUUCUCAGCCUCGUGGGCGCAUACGGCGCCGGAACCUGCCGGGACAAGAUCUCCACCGUCUACACCGCGGUGCUGGCGGCCCUCGUCUUCAUCUACGCUUUGGUUCUCAAGUUUAAGGACUGGUGGUCUCGAUGCAAGAACUCCGGCUCUGGAUCUGGCGCGAUGACUGUCGAAGAAAACAAGACGAUGAAAGAGGAAGGACGGCUCCGCAAGGUCUUGAUGCUUCUCGCCACGUUCGCGGUGAGCAUCACCUACGUCGCCGGGCUGAGCACCUCGGGUGGCUUCUGGGACAGCCCCGAAGGCAGCCACCGCCCAGGCGACGCUAUCCUCAAGGAACACCACAGCGUGCGCCUGACGGUGUUUCUACUCUGCAACACCACGGCGUUCCUGGCGUCCUUGCUCAUCACCACACUGCUUAUGAUCGCCGGCAAGAAGCUCCACGACAAACUAGCUAGGUCUCGCGUGCUCUACGCGUGCAUCGUCGUCACACUCGUCAGCCUCAUCGGCGCGUACGCCGCCGGCAGCUGCAGGGAGACCGACACCACCGUCUACGUGGUCUCCUUGGUUGGCGCCGUUGUGGCAUAUAUCCUGCUCCAACUCCAUGGCUUAUGCAGUUCAGAGUCAAAAUUACUGUCUUGUUUCACUCCAGAUGAUAAUGGAAGGUCGAGAAGUGCUAGGGAAGCUCUGGACAAGGCUCGCUCUCUUGUUCUAUUGCUCGCCACUCUUGCCGCCACCAUCACCUACACAGCAGGGUUGGACCCGCCGGGUGGCGUUUGGUAG